rnacentral:rRNA from 1 species
GCAUAUCAAUAAGCGGAGGAAAAGAAACCAACAGGGAUUGCCUUAGUAACGGCGAGUGAAGCGGCAAAAGCUCAAAUUUGAAAUCUAGCACUUUCAGUGUUCGAGUUGUAAUUUGAAGAAGGUAACUUUGGAAUUGGCUCUUGUCUAUGUUCCUUGGAACAGGACGUCACAGAGGGUGAGAAUCCCGUGCGAUGAGAUGUCCAAUUCUAUGUAAAGUGCUUUCGAAGAGUCGAGUUGUUUGGGAAUGCAGCUCUAAGUGGGUGGUAAAUUCCAUCUAAAGCUAAAUAUUGGCGAGAGACCGAUAGCGAACAAGUACAGUGAUGGAAAGAUGAAAAGAACUUUGAAAAGAGAGUGAAAAAGUACGUGAAAUUGUUGAAAGGGAAGGGCUUGAGAUCAGACUUGGUAUUUUGUGUUCCUUAUCCUUCUUGGAUUAGGUUCCUCACAGCUUACCGGGCCAGCAUCGGUUUGGAUGGCAGGAUAAUGACAUUGGAAUGUAGCUUUGCUUCGGUGAAGUGUUAUAGACUUUGUUGAUACUGCCUAUCUAGACCGAGGACUGC